GUAGCAGAAAGUAAAAAAAUGGCAAGGGAUGGCAUGGCCAUUUUAUUUUCUUGUGUGUCUUUUCUAAUGAAAGAGAUUUUCUGAUAAAAGAUCUUGGCAAUUGCAGAUGGUUUUGCAAUGUCGUCAUAUUGUCAUGACACCACUAUAGUGUUACUGUGCUAUUAUGUCUAUAUUUUAAAAAUAGAAAAACUAAUCAUGAAGCUAGGGGUGAAUACAGGAGUUGGUAAUGACACCAUUAAUGUGGAUGAAAGAAAUGUGCAAAUGCCACUGUUAAAAUGGCAAGGGUGCAAUAGAGAGUGCCAGCAAUUUGCUGCCCUCAAGAAGCAGAUUUCAUUCGGAACAAUGUAGCACAAAAGAUGUAGUGUGAUAAGGAUCUCAGGAAAUAUUUUGUUUUAUUCUGAGCUCUUCUGAAACAUGCCACAACCAUAUGAUGUCAGUUAGGAAUAUUACUAAAGCUGAUGCUUUUGCAUAUCCAUUCCGAUGCCCCUUCAGUGCCCCUUUUUCACGCCUACUAGUGUGUCUACUAGUGGCCGCCUUGAACUGGAGAAUGGGAUGUCUCUUGUUCAUCUCCUUGUUCCCAUCAGGAGUAGCUGUCAUAGCUUUUAUAACUAUGAGCUGGGCUAUUGCUAUCUUCAGUGUGCAGGAAAAAUUGCACUUCCCAAUGCUUCUGUUGCCUGGUCCACAGCCAUAACAGCAUGCCAACUUGGAGAGGGGCAAAAAACAAAAACCCUUUAAAAAUUCAUCCCAUUAUUGGACCAGAAAGUAAGGAAGUGGACCAUAAAGGGAGGGGGUUUAAAUUCUCCAGCUUGGAUUAAAAUCUGUUAUGGAGAAUUUUGCAGGCUGUAAUAUUUGUCUUCUCUUUGAGAGGAACACUACAAACUACCAAGAUGUGUAUAUAUGAGCCAGGAAAUGUUGAUUUUGGCACAUUACUAGUGUUUUACCCCAGUACUCUAGUUUCAGCUAUUUGAAAUGUAGGAUUUUAACCCAAUUAAGCCUAAUUAAGCCACGCUGAAACGAAUGGAGCUUUUAAUGUAUGUUAUGUAUUUGACACCAAAAGAAUGAGGAUGAAUUCAUGGCAAAAGGCAUUUACAAUCAGACCAUAUACAUAAGGGAAACCACAAAGGAAGAAUAGGAUAGCAAAAUUAAAAUGGGGUAAGAUGGUUAGAUAAAAAAAAAGCUGUAACAGAAAGGCUUAUACUUGCUUAUCAGACCAAGACAAACGAUUGGCGUUGAAUGCUUUUUUGAAAUUGCAUGUAUGCAGGUAGCAAGUCACGUGCUUGCUAAAAUUUGUGAUACUGGAGUGAUCUCUAGUUGCCCAUCCAUGUGUGCAGUAAUGAUCUUUUAUCCAAAAUGAGGAAAAAGACUCUCAUAGUAUGAGUUUAGCCUUUCUCUACCCAGACAAUUAUCGGUAGAAUCAUCUCCCACUAGGAAGAGCAGAUUUCCAAAAGAAGAUCCUCAUUAGUGUUAUACCUGUAUGCUUUCCCUGUAACUAUAGUGCCAAUAAGUUUGAAUACUUUUUGAAGCUGUUUCAAUAGUUGCCACAAGUUGUGUUUCAGGGAAUCCACUGAGAAUCCUCCCUUCCCAAUUGCACCUCUAGCCUCCAGGAAUGGUUUUAUGGAUGUUCUCUGUCUCCAUGUUCUUCCUGGUUUCAGAAUAUAGUACUUAAUAUGGAUGCCAAGAGUGUUUGGUGUAUCACAGAGGGCACAUCUUUUGGCAACGUGUGUGUCUGGAAUAUGUGUCAUUAGAUUCAGGACAUAGUUGAUCUGAUGUUAUACUUUUCUGCAAAGUGGAAACUCAGAAUGGCUUCCCUUGUUGCUUAGGAAGUAGUUUAAUGCCUCUUCAUGGAUCAUGUCAAUGUAGAGGCAGGAGGUUUGGUUGUUACUUUUUUGUAUAAUCCUAUUUCUGAGCUACAAAUAAAUAACAACCAAACUUCCUAGAUUUCCAUUACCAAUGGUCCAUUUCAUGUCACUGGAAGUUUUUUUUCAAACACAUGUACAAGCUGUCUUGAGAGAGACAUGUGUGGUUUAGAUAUGACAAAAAUGGGAAAAAUUCUUCUUUUGGACAAUUAUAUUGGUUAGUAUUUUGCUAUUCUUGCAUCAAACAGAGGAUGAGCUGGAAAGGCUAUGUCUGAGACUUUAUGGUUUAAAUAACCGUGGCCUGUUUGUAAUUUGAAAUACAGUUUAUUUCUGUCCUUGGUACAGUAUGUACUAUAUGUAUUACGCUGUGUGCUAUACUACGAGUUGCACCUGUUCCGACAUAAGUAGAAGACAUUAUUAUAGCUGUCGAGGAUAGAAGAUUCCUCUGUAUGUGUGUUUGAGGGAAGUGAACAGUGAAAGAAUGGCCUUCUCUUAAUUUGUUUACUGGCAGCCUCUUCCAGAGCCUCCUUCGGCAGCGAGAUCAGUUUUCCCUGCCCCACUAUUGUCUGGGGAAAUCUAUCUUCAGGAGUUGCUUUCUUAAAAAGAUCUCAUGCCAAGUAAUCAGUGGGCUUUGUGUCGUUUGCCUGUCAAAAGAGAUAUGUUUACACCUUCCAUGCGUGCGUUAAAAAGCUCUCAGAUUACAAAAGCAAGAGUGGUGGGUGCCUUCCAGCCCUCCCUGUUCAUAGGCGGCAGGGGGGUGGGGUGGGUAUGUAUUUAUGAUAAUUGCGUGGACUGCUUGGAACAAUGCAUUCCAACAUCCUGUAACAUAAAUAAGGAAGGUGGGGCUAGCUGACACUACACGGCUUGUUUGCCAGCAGUCCUGAUCUUCCACUCUAUGGCUAUCUAUAUCUGUCCCCUUGCCAUUACACAGCCUCAGCCUGGCAGCGCUGAACCUGUUGCUGCAUUAGCCGAGUUGUCUUUUGCUCUUAGAUAGGGGAAGGAGGGUUGUCUGCUGUCUGGUAGGAGGGCUUUGUCUGUGUGUGCCUUUCUCUCUGUCUCUCUCUCUCUCUCUCUGUCUCUCUCUCUCUGUCUCUGUCUCACACUCUCGCUUGCUCUCCCCCCCCUCUCUCUCUUGCUCUCUCUCUCCCUUUCCCGUCUCUGUGGUUUGUAAGGUAGGUUGCAGUGUGUGUAUAUACACAACAUCAAGAGCAGGAAAAUGGACUCAUUAGGGAGGCAGGCAGUCAUUACCAUUCACACUGCACUUCCAGGGAGGCAGCGACUAUGAGGAGACAAACUGAGGACUGGGGAGCAAGAAGCGCAGAAAAGAAGUGUUAGGAACUGCGUUUAACCCUUUUGGAAUCAGAGGGGAAAAGGAGCAACUUGAGAAACUGCAAGUAACUUCUGGUGUGAGAGAAUUGGCCGUCUGCAAGGACGUUACCCAGGGGAUACCCAGAUUUUUAAAAAUGUUUUUACCAUCCUUGUGGGAGGCUGCUCUUAUGUCCCCGCAUGGAGCUGGAGCUGAUAGAGGGAGCUUAUCCGUGCUCUCCCCAGGUUGGAUUCGAACCGGCAACCUUUAGAUCAGCAACCCAGCCUUCAAGUAAGCAGUCCUGCUGGCACAAGGGUUUAACCCACUGUGCCACCAGGGACACUAAAUUAUUAAACAAAUUCCCAUUCAAAUUCAGUACUUUUCUUGAUGAUGAUGAUGAUGAUGAUGAUGAUGAUGAUGAUGAUAAAUAAAUAAAUAAAUAAACUUUAUUUCUAUCCCACCACUAUCUCCCUGAAGGGACUCGGGGCUGCUUACAAAGGCACUCCAUAUAAAAUAAACACCAACUUACUUACUGUAAACACCAACUUUAAUUUUAUUUUCAACUUAAUUAAUUGCAUCCAACUUAAUUGCAAUUUACAUUGUUACUAUGCUUAAUUGUAAAUUGCUCUUACUUGAUGAAUGUGAGCAUUGGAAGGUGUGGAACAACAUCAAGACCUAUGGGCUUAAAGGUCUCAGGCACUCUAUGUUUUUUUUUAAAUUCCUCCACUAACUACAAAAGUAUUAGAACUGUUUCAGCUACAAAGAUGGGGAGCUCUCUCUCUCUCCCUCUCUCUCAAUUGCUUUCUUCCUUUCUUCUCUCUCUCUCAUCGCUGCAUGUCUCACUUAUCCUGUGCUUUUCUUCCCAUUAUUACUAUGUAGUGGCACUGGUCUUUUCUAACUUCCUGCUGCUGUAGCCAUUUAUGCAGCUUGGUGGUUCUGGAGACAUCUCUCUCUCUUCACCUCUCCCUCUCUUUUAUCUUCCCCUGUCUCUGACUUAUCUUGCUCCAUCUUUUUUGCUCAUGCUGUGUAACUGAUGAUCUUUCUAAAUUGCAGCAUUGAGUAGUUAGUUCUGCAACUAUGAUCAGGUGGCAGUGCUUUUGAAGUAGUUCAGUCUCUCAUGCCUCGAGCUGUGACGAGAGGCAGAUAACCAUUACUACUACUACUACUACUACUACUACUACUUAUACCACUUCCUCUCACUCCCUGUUUUUUUCAUUGGAAGGUAAAGUGAGCAGUGAACAUGGCAAGCACUUAGGAUGAUUGGUAAAUGGAAUAACUAUGGUAGCAGUUUACCACCAAAGUUCACCCCUAGACUGCAUAUUUGCAUGUUGUCAUCCCCAUUUUUGGGUGGUAGAUUUAAUUGCUCCUGGCUUUGAGUGAUCUAUAUAAUCGCCCCUGGGGAUCUGCAAGUUUCUGGUUCAGCAAAAAGGAGCCUUUGCGGUCAUAUGGAGCCUUUGGGACGUGCUUUCCCCACCCCUACUGUAUUACUUUCUCUAAAGCACUGCUAAAGAACUACACUGAAUGAACAAAAGAUACCUUAAUAUGAGACAAGAGUUAUGUGACAUUGUGGGAAACUCGUUUUAUGCAUUAUAUGAUUUCCUGUAUGAGACGAAGGCUGUCAUUAAUUAUACUGAUAUAGACAUCAUGUACUGUGCUUUUUAAAAGUAAUUAUUUCGGUUUCCCCAGUAGGAACAUCUCCCUGAAACAAGGAAAGGUAGUUCUAAUACCCUUAAGUACUACCAACUAGGCAAUAGUAAAAUAAAAAUCUGUCAAAAUAUUACUGAUUCUGUAUGUAUAGUAAAUCUUCAAUUUCUGAUUGUCAGCUACUGGUUUAUGUGUUACGUAACUGGGAGAGAAGCGUAAUUGAGAAAACCCGCAUUAAAAAAUCAUAUUCCACCUGCAAUUUGAAAAUGUUUUCUGUUGUCAUACAAGAUUGGUAACUUUUCAAACAUGAAAGAAUGCAUGAAGAAUGCAAGCAAUGCCCUAGUAAAAUCUUAGACACUUGUACAGGUUAACUAUACAUAUAUUAAGAAUAGGUUUUAUAUUGUGGAAAAAUGCAAAGUAUUUGAGACUUUUGAAUACUGUAAGAUGUUCUAACCCUAACCUUAACCCUAAGGAACCCUGGUGGCGAAGUGUGUUAAAGCACUGAGCUGCUGAACUUGCAGACCGAAAGGUCCCAGGUUCAAAUCCCAGGAGCGGAGUGAGCGCCCGCUGUUGCUCCAGCUCCUGCCAACCUAGCAGUUCGAAAACAUGCCAAUGUGAGUAGAUCAAUAGGUACUGCUCCGGCGCUCCAUGCAACCAUGCCGGCCACAUGACCUUGGAGGUGUCUACGGAUAACGCCGGCUCUUCGGCUUAGAAAUGGAGAUGAGCACCAACCCCCAGAGUCAGACAUGAUUGGACUUAACGUCAGGGGAAAACCUUUACCUUUACCUAAGAUGUUCUUAGUAGUCUUCCACACAUAGACAUUUUGUACAGUGCUUUUAAUUUCCUAGCAGAUAUACAUUGUCUCCCAAUGUUACUGUAAGUGUUCAUAUUUAGAUAUUCCCCUUUUCAUCCUUGUUUGAGUAGUAAAGAAUAUGUUGUCCACAUGCAUCAUCCAUGCCAUUUUAAGUCUGGUAUGUGCUCCCCAACCACCCAUCUUUAUUUUUUAUUUUUGAAACCCAAAUGCCCCAUAUCUAAUAGAAAUGAAGGAAUGAGACAUUGCAAAGAUGCAAAGUGAGUCAAAGACGAGGAACAGUGUAGUGGCAGGUGCAAGGACCAUGAUAGAUAAGCAAAAGGUGAGGCAGAGUGCAAGGAAGUGACAUGUCACAGCAGAUAAUAAGGCAAAGGAGGAGGAGGAUUGGAAGUUCAGUGGUGAAAUGCAACAGAUAGCAGUAGCAUGAGAUGAAGUGAUAGAAAAUGAAGAAUAGGACUGGGACAAGUUGGGAACACCUCAACAGAAAGAGUUUAUUUAUUUAUUUAUUUAUUUAUUUAUUUUGUGUCAAAAGCAUUGCAUAAUAAAUACGUUUAAAAGCGAUAAAAGAAAGGAAUCACAAACAGCUAAAUGGUUUUGGACCAAAAGCGGGCAACAGCAAUUGCGUUGUCUGUAGCUUUAUCAACAACUCCUCCUCUGUGCAUGAAGCAGGGCAUUGUGAACAAGCAUACAUAUGAGGAGUUGUUUGUUCAGCUCCAGUCACACAAGGUGGAGGAUUCCUCCAGGUAGUGCCAUCUUGCCAGGUUGUCUUUUGAUCUGCCCACUCCACUUCUGAGUCUAAUUGGGGACUUCCAAGUUGCCCAUUCUUGGUUUGCCCCUGGAGGCAUACCGUCACAGGGGGCCAUCCAGUUGGGAUUGCCUGGUUUAGCUGCCCAGAGGGAUACUCUUGCUGUUUCUGGGGGAACAUCAAGAGGAGUAGUGGUUCUCAUGAAGCUUUUCCUUGAUUUGAGUCUACAGGGAGGGGGCUGAUAGUCAUGCAGUGGAUGACUUUCGUAAUGUUCGACCUUAUUUCUCUCACAAUUAGCAGCAACUUCCCGUCGCACAUUGGGAAGGCAAUGCCAGCUAACUUGUAGAGUUUAUCAACAGGUGUAGGUUUAAGGCAUCCUGUGAUUAUUCUGCAUGUUUCGUUCAGUGCUAUGUUCACUUGCUUCAUAUGGACAGACUUGUGCCAGACAGGACAGGCAUACUCAGCCUGUCACCUUGCCAUGGUGAGGGGGCUUGCGUGUUCCGAUGAACCUGUGGGCACAACCACUGGAGUGAUGCACUCCCAGGAGUGGCCGCAGGGGAGGUUCCAGACCAAGCAUAAUCCGAAGACCCAAAGACCUCAACGGCGGAGCAGGCGGAGGAUAACAUGGUACAUGUUACAACGGCUGUGAAGGCAGAAGAAGGCUGCAACAGACUGAGAAGCCACUCUCGUUGUGUUAACCACACCACUGCUGGAACCUCACUCUGUGAAGACUGUGUGUUGACCGGCCGUGCACCGAUCUCCACACAUUAAAAAAAUCACACACAGGCGUCUUCCAACAAAAAUAAAAACAAACCUACAAAAGUCCCAUGGCGAUCAGCGAGUGGCGACGGGGGCAGGACUGUGAAAUCUGGAAGCCCCUAGUCACAGACUGGCACAUGGGCGGUGGAUAUGGACUCAGUCAUUCUACCUCAAGGACCGAGGCAGUUGAGGAAUCCGGCAGCUGUAUCCAUGACUGAGCAGCCCUUUUUAGGAUCCGCUCUGCUCACCCCACACGGGGAAGGGGCUAGAAAAGGUGCCCUAAACAUAGUCUGCCUCUCCUACCCUGACUGGACUGCCGCGUCCAGAGGGGUCACCACUCUGCGGCCAAAAAAGAAAAAUGAACUUUGGAACACGGAACGUACGGACAUUGUUAGAUAACACUGACAGCGAGCGCCCCAAACGCAGGACAGCUAUCAUUGCAAGGGAGCUGGGACGCUUUAAGAUCGACAUAGCAGCCCUUCAGGAGACCCGGAGAGCAGGAGAGGGACAGCUGAAGGAAGAAAAGGGAGGCUACACCUUCUUCUGGAAGGGACUGCCUGAAGAAGAGCGAAGAAUACACGGAGUUGGCUUUGCGAUCAGAAACGACCUGGUGAAGCACCUGACUGAAGCACCCACUGGCAUCAACAAAUGACUUUCAACCCUCCGAAUUAACCUUGCCAAAAACCAACAGGCAACCAUCAUAUGCGCCUAUGCACCAACUCUAGAUGCUGACGAAGACAUCAAGGAAAAUUUUUACUGUCAGCUGGACACCAUCCUAUCGGAGAUACCUAAGGAGGACAAAAUCAUCCUCCUGGGGGACUUUAAUGCAAGAGUCGGAAGGGACUCCGACCUGUGGCCAGGGAUCAUAGGAAAAGACGGGGUCGGAAACAGCAACUCGAAUGGCAUCUUGCUUCUCACCAAAUGCGGAGAGCACAACCUUGUCAUCACCAACACGCCAGAAAAACAAGCUCAAGACAUCAUGGAAGUACCCUCGGUCAAAGCAUUGGCACCUCUUGGACUAUGUUAUUACAUGUGCCAGAGACCGCCGCGAUGUGCUUCUCACAAGAUCCAUGACAGGUGCUGAUGACUGCUGGACAGACCACAGGUUAAUCCGAUCCACGAUGGCUAUCAAGAUCGUCCCCAAACACAGACUCCAAGGAAGAAAAACAAGGCGCAAAAUGAACACCCAAGCCCUUCAGGAGCCCUCCAAACGAGCCCUUCUCCAAACAACACUCAAGGAUCAUCUACCCACAGAACACCCCGAAAAUGUUGAGGAACAUUGGAACAAACUGAAGACCUCCAUCAUCACAGCCUGCGAUGAAAGCAUUGGAUACCUAACUAAGAAACAUCAAGACUGGUUUGAUGAUAACGACAAAGAGAUCCAACAGCUGAUUGAUAACAAAAGGAAAGCCUUCCAAACAUGGCAGAGAGACAUCAACUGUGCUGCCAAGAAAAAGAUCUAUGCCAGUGCAAAAGCUGAGGUCCAAAGAAGGACCAGAGAACUCAAGAACAUCUGGUGGACAAAGAAGGCUGAAGAAAUCCAACACCUUGCAGAUAUCCAUGACGCUCAGGGAUUUUUCAAAGCCACAAAGAUCAUUUAUAGACCAAGAAACCAUGGCAUACAGCCCCUACGCUCAUCAGAUGGAACCAAAAUUCUGAAGGACAAAACAUCAAUUGCACUACGUAGGAAAGAGCACUACCAGAACCUGCUGAAUCGCAGCUCCAAUGUGGCCGAAGAGACCCUUUCACAAAUCCCGCAACAACAAACCAGGGAUGAGCUUGCAGCACUGCCUAGUUUGGAAGAAGUCAGCAAUGCCAUCAGCCAACAAAAAAACAACAAAGCCAGUGGACCUGAUGGGAUUCCUGCUGAAAUCUUCAAAGAGGGUGGACCUGAGCUGAUACAACAACUCCACCAGCUCAUUGAAAAGGUGUGGAUGACCGAGAAAAUCCCAGCAGACUUCAAGGAUGCCACCAUCAUCACCCUUUUCAAGAAAGGGGACAGAACAGACUGCGGGAACUAUCAUGGUAUCUCCCUUCUAACCUCCGCCGGGAAAAUCCUUGCAAGAAUCCUUGCAAACCGCCUUCUUCCUGUCUCAGAAGACACCCUCCCAGAAUCCCAGAACGGCUUCCACCCCUCCAGAGGAACAGUGGACAUGAUCUUCACUGCACGACAGCUCCAAGAAAAAUGCAGGGAACAAAACCAACCUUUGUACAUGGCAUUCAUUGACCUUGCAAAGGCAUUUGACACAAUGAAUCGCAGCACUCUCUGGACCAUCCUCCAAAAAAUCGGGUGCCCUGACAAAUUUGUGAACAUCCUGCGGCUCCUCCAUGAUGACAUGAUGGCAACAGUCUUGGACAGCAACGGCUCCCAAAGUGACCCAUUUAAGGUGGAAUCAGGUGUCAAGCAGGGAUGUGUUAUUGCUCCUACCUUAUUUUCCAUCUUCAUCGCUAUGAUACUUCACCUUGUUGAUGGGAAGCUUCCCACCGGAGUGGAAAUCAUCUAUCGGACAGAUGGUAAACUAUUUAACCUCAGCAGACUGAGAGCCAAAACCAAGGUCACCACAACAUCUGUUAUAGAACUCCAAUACCCUGAUGACAACGUAGUCUGUGCGCAUUCAGAAGAAGACCUACAAGCCACUCUCAACACCUUCGCAGAAGCAUACGAGAAGCUCGGCCUCUCACUGAACAUCGAGAAAACAAAAGUGCUCUUCCAACAGCUAAUCCCUCUGCAAAGCCAGGAAUACAGCUUAACGGUGUAACAUUAGAAAAUGUUGACCAUUUCCGCUACCUUGGCAGCCAUCUCUCCACAAAAGUCAACAUCGACACUGAAAUACAACACCGCCUGAGCUCUGCGAGUGCAGCAUUUUUCCAUAUGAAGCAGAGAGUGUUUGAUGACCGGGACAUCCAUAGAGAGACCAAGGUGCUUGUUUAUAAAGCCAUUGUCCUCCCAACCCUGCUCUACGCCUGCGAAACAUGGACUGUCUACAGACGUCACACCAAACUCCUGGAGCGUUUCCAUCAGCAUUGACUCAGGAAAAUCCUGCAAAUCUCUUGGGAAGACAGGUGGACAAAUGUCAGUGUGCUUGAGGAAGCAAAGACCACCAGCAUUGAAGCGAUGCUCCUACGCCAUCAACUCCGCUGGACUGGCCACGUUGUCCGAAUGCCCGAUCACCGUCUCCCAAAGCAGCUCCUCUACUCCGAACUCAAGAAUGGAAAACGGAAUGUUGGUGGGCAGGAAAAGAGAUUUAAAGAUGGGCUCAAAGCCAACCUUAAAAACUGUGGCAUAGACACUGAGAACUGGGAAGCCCUGGGCCUUAAGCGCUCUAACUGGAGGUCAGCUGUAACCAGCAGUGCUGCGGAGUUCGAAGAGGCACGAAUGGAGGGCUUAAGGGAGAAACGUGCCAAGAGGAAGGAGCGUCAAACUAACCCCGACCGGGACCGCCUUCCACCUGGAAACCGAUGUCCUCACAGCAGGAGAAUAUGCGGGUCUAGAAUAGGUCCCUUCAGCCACCUAAGAACCCACCCCCAAGAUACCAAGGAUGGAAGACUAUCGUCCUCGAACUACGAGGGAUCGCCUAAGUAAGUAAGUACUCAGCAGUUGAGAAGGACAAGGCCAGGGCUGAUGUUCUUAUUAAUUGUGGGUCUGCACCCCACGCACUGCCAGUAAGUUUCCGCAGGAUGUUAUUGCAUGCAGCUACUUUGUGCUUGGUGUGCAUGCAGUGUUUCCUAUAUGUUAGUGUUCGGUCUAAGGCGACACCAAGAUAUUUAGGAUGGAAACAGUGUUCGAGCUCUUGGCCUUCCCAUGUAACUUUCAGUUUCCUGUUGGUUUCACUAUUACGUAGGUGGAAAGCACACACUUGUGUCUUGGCAGGGUUAGGCUUCAGGUGGUUAUCUUUGUAGUAGCUGGAGAGUGGUGGUUGUGGGUGAUCGUUUGUGAAGAUGUUUAACAAGGUCAGUGCAAUAACGCUUCCUUGGGGUAAACCAUUAUUUUGCCUCCUCCAUCUACUUUUCCUGCCCUGAAACUCCACAUAGAAGCUGCGGUUUUCCAUGAGGGUCUGGACAGUUUUUGUAAAGUCAAAGUCCUGGGUAAUAUGGUAGACUUUAUGCAGCAUUUUUCUUUUUUUAAUUUUUUUAAAUUUUAAUUUUUGAGUGAUUUAAUGACAUAUAAAAUGUAAAAAGAAAACUAGAAAUAAUCAAGUACACAUAAUAUAGGAAUGCCAUUCCUCCAAACAUUGCCAUAUUCUCUUGUAUGUACCACUUCCCAUAAUAGAUUAUAAUACAGAAAUAUGUAUGUCUUGACUUCUAUAAUAUAUUCAUCCUCUAAUUCUAUUGCAUACUUGUUAUAUUUACCUCUAUCUGCCUUCCCCUUGUUCCCCUCACCCAGUGCCUACCCUUCACUCCAGACCAGCCGAUUACCAUUCUUAUUUCCAAAAUUCCAUUGUUUCUAUUACAGGUUUGUUCCCCUUACCUUCUAAAUAUACGUAUUCUAUAAAUUUUCCCCAUAUCUUCCCAAAAGCAUCCGUUUUCAAUAACCCUCUUUUGAUCUUAAUAUUACAUGUCAAUUUAUCAUUUAUUGCGAUAUCACAGAUCUCCCUAUACCAUUCUUCCAAUUGGUACUCCCUCCCUUCUUUCCAUUUUUUGGCUAUUAACAACCUUGCAGCUGUUACCAGAUUGGCAAUUAAUUCAUGUAGCUCUUUUGAUAUUUCAUUAUUAUCGAUAAAUGACAAUAGUGCUACUUCAGGCGUUCCUGUUAUUUCUGUUUUGGUGAUUCUUCUUAUUUCUUGAAAUACAUUUUCCCAAAAAUUUUGAACAUAUUUAAAAGACCACCACAUGUGUAUAUAUGUUCCAGUUUCUUGGCAGCCUCUCCAACACUGCUUAGAAUAUUUCUUAUCAAUUUGAUUUAGUCUAAUUGGUGUGAGGUACCAUCUCCACACCACUUUGUAAUAAUUCUCUUUUAUUCUUAUAGACAUGUUUUUUGAUAUUCUCAUAUUCCACAUUCCUUUCCAAUUUUGAGGGUGUAUUUCCUUAUUACAAUCUAACUCCCACAUUUCUUUAAGAUGAUCCCGAUCCUGUACUUCUUCCAACAACAAUUUGUAAAUAUCGCCUGUUAUACCUUUGGUUCUUUCCAGCAUUUUUCUAUGUUGCACCGUAUCAUAGGCUGCCGUAAGGUCCACAAAAACUGUUCCCGUAAUGCAUCUUUUCUCACAGCCUUCCUCGAUAUGCUCACUCAGAUGAAGAAUUUGACCUGUACAGUUUUUCCCUGGUCUGAAACCUGCUUGUUGUGCAAUAAGCUUAGGUUCGAUGACAGGUCCUAAUUGAUUUAAUAGCAUUCUCUCAUAUACUUUAUAUAGAUGACAUAAGAGAGAGAUUGGUCGGUAGUUCCUGGCAUUGGAAGCAUCUUUACCAGGUUUUAAAAUGGCAAUGAUCUUAGUUUUUCUCCAUACUCUGGGAAUCUGUUUAUGUGCCAAACAUUGAUUGUAGAAUUUCAAAAGCCAGUUUUCAGCUUUGGGCCCCAAGUGUUUGAUUUGCUCCAUCAUUAAGUCAUCUAGGCCAGGUGCUUUACCAGUUUUACAUCGCUUGAUAGCUUCUCUGAGUUCUUUUAGGUUUAGAGGAGAAGACAACUGGUAGGUUUCAAGUUCUGGCACCCUGUUGAUUUUCAUCUUUACUCUGCUGCAGUUGAUUUUCCCAUUCUGAAUUAGCUGGUGAGCUAUCUGGUCUGGUGUUACGUUUGCGUGUCCACAGCUGACCAGAGGGUCACUAUCCAGGCGUCUCAGCAAUUGCCAGGCUUUUCGGCUACUCUUGGACAUAUCAAGGUUCUCAAGCAGCUCUAUCUAGUGGUCUUUCUUAGCAUUAACUAUGGCUGUAGAUAGUUUUUGGCUUGCUGCUGUAGUCUCAUUGCUGUAUGGAUUCUCUUGAAAUAGUCUGAGAUAUUCCUAUAGCUGAUUUAACGAUUCUUCAUUUAGGCCUGGUAGGUAGCUUGUGCGACAGUCCCUAGGGAUUGAGAGCCUCAAGGAUCUUUUCACAACUUCUACAAACAGAUCAUAGCCUUCUAUAGAAGGUUCUAUAUCAGAAAUAGCUGCUUCCAAGGUCUCUGUAAAGUUUAUCCAGUUAGCUUUAUUGAAGUUACAUCUUCUGCGGAAUGGGACACUUUUUGGUCUUACAGCUGCAUAAGCUACGCAGCAUAUUGGUCUGUGUUGAGUAUUAGGUAUCGGGUUUAAUACCCUUUUAAUGCAUUGGUGGAUUAUGCUUUCUUUUACAAAAAUCAGACCAGGGUUAUAACCACACUUCCAUCGGCCGCUAUUAAAUGAUGGUGGUAAUUUACUGUCAUGAAGGAGGCUCAUUCUACUAUUGUCGACUCAUAUUAGAACUGCUUUGCCAUUUCUAUCAUCUUCGUCAUAGCCCCAGACACAGCUAUGGCUAUUGAAAUCUCCCACAAUAAAAUGGACUUCAUGAUUGUGGCAAUUGGUUGGGGGUGUAAAAUAGAAUUCAGCCCCAGGUUGUUUAUAGAGUGAAGACACACUGCAACUAUCCAGUUCCACAGAUAGGAUUUCAAUGUUGUUUACUUCUGUGAGAGAUGUUGUAGAUAUUGCUGUACCACAUCAUACAAAAAUGGCACUACCAUAUUGUCUGUGAGGUCGUUCAACUGCCAGUUGCAUUCCAAGAAUUUUUGGUCUUCUCAUUGUGAUGUCUCUGUGUGUUUCCUGUAUGCAUAAGAUGUCACACGAGAUGUCCUCAGACAUUUUGGCUAAUUGCUCUUCCGUAGCAAGUGACAAACCUUCUAUAUUAAUAGACAUAGCCGUUAGCAAUGGUCUUGAUAAAGACCUUUGGUAUUCAUCCAUUUGUGGAGAGAUAAAACACAUUUAAAAUGUUAAAAAACAUGUUUAAAAGCAAUGCAAUGCUUUUGGGUUUGAAAGAUUAGCCAUUUACAAGAAACAUUGCCCAGGGGACCCCUCUCUGGAUUUACUCAGUCUUCGAGGAGACUCUUUCCAUGUCCCCCAGAAAGAGUGAGACAGUAGUAGUACAGGUCUUCCUAGAGAAGGUGAGCAGUACAUUAAAGCUGAAGGUUCUUAAGAUAAAUUCAUGGGUGCUGUGGUUUUUAACUUUGAAUUUGUUUUAAUGAUUUUUAACUGGGAUUUUAAAAAUACUAUUUAUAUUUAAUCCUGUUUGAAUGUUAUAUUUAUAUAUUUUAAAUGGCUAGACUGAUGCUUUUAUGUUAAGCCGCUUUGAACCCCCUUCAGGGGAGAAAAAGCUGGGGGGGGGGGUAAUAAUAAUAAUAAUAAUAAUAAUAAUAAUAAUAAUAAUAAUAAUACAUUCUCACAGAACAAAAUGGAACAGAUGGAAAUAACAACUGAAAUAAUCAGCAAAUGAGCGCAAAAAGUCAAAAACUGGACAUCGCCUGGUAGUGAUCAACUUCAUGGAUUUUGGCUCAAACAUCUGAUUAGUUUACAUGGAAAAAUGGCCCAACAAUUCAAUGAGAUGCUGCAGAAUGGAAGUAUCAGUGAAUGGCUAACAACUGGAAGAACAUACCUGAUACAGAAGGAUCCAGCAAAAGGAGUAGCACCAGGAAACUACAGGCCAAUAACCUGUCUGCCCACUAUGUUUAAACUACUGACUGGCAUCAUAGCUGACAGAAUUCAAGACUAUCUUGAAGAAAAAACACAUCUUGCCAGAUGAACAGAAAGGCAACAAACGGAAAAGCAGGGGCACAAAAGACCAGUUAUUGAUUGACAAAAUGAUUCUGGAGAACUGUAAAAGCCAAAAAGCUAAUCUUCACAUGAUGUGGAUUGACUACAAAAAGGCCUUUGACUCACUCCCACACAGCUGGAUAAUCAAAUGCCUGGAUGCCAUCAGGAUUUGUAAAAACGUUGGCACCUUUAUUGAAAACAUGAUGGAGCACUGGAAAACUGAACUGUUUGUUGGAAAUGAAAGCUAUGGACUUGUCAACAUCAGAAGAGGAAUUUUCCAGGGAGGUUCAUUGUCUUCUCUGCUUUUCAUUAUUGCCAUGAUCCCUCUGUCAACAAUCUGACAAAAAAAAAAAUCUCGGCUAUCAAACAUCUAAGAAAUCUCACAAAAUUUCACAUCUGAUGUACAUGGAUGACCUGAAGCUAUAUGGGAAAAUGGAAACGGAAAUCCAGUCUUUGACCAACACUGUCUGAAUUUUUAGCACUGAUAUCAGCAUGGAGUUUGGUUUGGACAAAUGUUCGACAGUGGCAUUGAAGAAGGGAAAAAUCAUUGAAAGUGAGGGCAUAAAUAUGCCUAAUGGCCAAACAAUAAAGUGUCACCAGCCAGAGGCCUAUAAAUAUCUGGGCAUAUUACAGCUGGACAACAUCAAGCAUGAACAUGUGAAGACUGCGGUCAGUAAAGAAUACACACAAAGGGUCAGAAAAAUUCUCAAAAGCAAGCUCAAUGGAGGCAACACUAUCAAGGCCAUAAACACCUGGGCCAUACCUGUCAUAAGAUAUACUGCUGGCAUUAUAAAUUGGACACAGGCGGAACUGGACAGCUUGGACAGAAAAACAAGAAAACUCAUGACAAUUCAUCAUUCACUGCACCCUCAGGGGGCAGAGGACUCUUACAAGUAAAACAAGCAGUCAAAGAAGAAGAACAUGCCCUGGCAGAAUAUGUAAAGCAAAGUGAAGAACCUGCUUUGAUUGAAGUCAAAAAUCAGAAACUCCUCAAUGGACUGCAGAUAAAAAACCAGUACAAGAAAACCACACUACAAACUAGAGCUGACAGCUGGCACAACAAAACAUUGCAUGGAAAGGUCCUUGACAAAAUUGAAGGAAAAGCUGAUAAGGAGAAGACCUGGCUAUGGCUCAUGAAUGGGACCCUGAAGAAGGAGACAGAAGGCCUGAUCCUUGCAGCCCAGGAGCAAGCCAUCAGGACAAAUGCAAUUAAGGCCAAGAUCGAAAAAUCAGCUGAUGACCCAAAAUGCAGACUGUGCAAGGAAGCUGACGAAACCAUUGAUCAUAUCCUCAGCUGCUGUAAGAAAAUUGCACAGACAGACUACAAACAGAGGCACAACUAUGUGGCCCAAAUGAUUCAUUGGAACUUAUGCCUGAAGUACCACCUCCCAGCAGCAAAGACCUGGUGGGAUCACAAACCUGCAAAAGUAUUGGAAAAUGAGCACGCAAAGAUACUGUGGGACUUCCGAAUCCAGACUGACAAAGUUCUAGAACACAAGACACCAGACAUCACAGUUGUGGAAAAGAAAAAGGGUGGGAUCAUUGAUGUUGCCAUCCCAGGUGACAGUCGCAUUGACGAAAAACAACAGGAAAAACUCAGCCGCUAUCAGGACCUCAAUAUUGAACUUCAAAAACUCUGGCAGAAACCAGUGCAGGUGAUCCCGGUGGUGAUGGGCACACUGGGUGCCAUGCCAAAAGAUCUCAGCUGGCAUUUGGAAACAAUAGACAUCGAAAAAAUCACGAUCUGCCAACUGCAAAAGGCCACCCUACUGGGAUCUGCACGCAUCAUCCGAAAAUACAUCACACAGUCCUAGACACUUGGGAAGUGUUCGACUUGUGAUUUUGUGAAACGAAAUCCAGCAUAUCUAUCUUGUUUGCUGUGCCAUACAAUAAAAUAAUAACAACAACAAUAACAACAACAACAACUGCAAAAGGCCACCUUACUGGUGUCUGCACGCAUCAUCCGAAAAUACAUCACACACUUGGGAUGUGUUCGACUUGUGAUUUUGUGAUACAAAAUCCAGCAUAUAUAUCUCGUUUGCUGUGUCAUACUAUGUCUUUGUGUCAAUAAAAACAACAACAACAACAACAACAACAACAACAACACAUCAUUCCUGGAACCCUGCUUUUUGAGGUAGCCACCUCAUGGGUGCUACUUUCAGAAAAGAAGAAGACAGAAAAAGUUAAAUGAAGAGUUAGACAGAUUCUUAUUGGGGUAGAUCCAUGAUUUAAAAAAAAGAUUCAAAGAGAAAAAGAGAGAGAGAUUAAGGGUGUCUCUGCAUUGUAGAAUGAAUGUAGUUUGACACUACUAUAACUCCCAUGGCUCAAAGCUAUGGAAUCCUGGGAUUCCAUACAAUGGGGCCGCGGUAGCACAGCGGAUUAAACUUCUAGCUGCAGGAAAUCUGCCAAUUUGAGGGUUGGCAGUUUGAAGCCACGAGUUGGGAUGAACUCCUGCCUGUCAGCCCUAGUUCCUGCCAACCUAGCAGUUCUAAAGCAUGCAAAGCGAGUAGAUCAAUAGGCACCGUCUUGGCGGGAAGGUAAAAGGAUGCCCCUUGCAGAUAUGCAGACAUGCCGACAACACGAUCAGAGAUGUCUGCAGACAACAGACUCCUCGGCAUGGAAAAAUGGAACAAGAGCACUUCCCCAUGACCGUAGUUGAGCAUCGCCUCCAGACGCCGGAGAUGAAAAGGGGGAAGACCUUUAACUGUGUCUGUGUAUUGUAUGUUGUUGUUCAUUGUGUAAAAGGCAUUGAAUGUUUGCCUUAUAUGUGUAUUUUGUAAUCCGCUCUGAGACUCUCCAAGCAGAUAAAGCGGAAUAUAAAUAAUGUGCAUUGUUACUGCUAUUAUUAUUAUUAUUAUUAUUAUUAUUAUUAUUAUUAUUAUUAUUGACACAAAGACACAGUAUGACACAGCAAACAAGAUAUAUAUGCUGGAUUUCGUAUCACAAAAUCACAAGUUGAACACUUCCCAAGCAUUUAGGAAUUGUUGUUGUUGUUGUUAUUAUUAUUAUUAUUAUUAUUAUUAUUAUUAUUAUUAUGUUUAUUAUUAUGCUUAUUAUUAUUAGUAUUCAUUUGAUGAGGCACCAGCGCUCUGUGGCAGAGAAGGCUAAAGACAUUGUGGAACUUCAAUGUCCAUGAUUCCAUAGCAUUGAAUAUUGGCAGCUAAAGUGGUGUUAAACUGUAUUAAUUCUACAAGUGAUGCACCCAUAGUUUUGGUUUUUGUUUUUUGUUUUUUGGAAAGGAUUCACUCUGUAUUCAUUUGUCUUGGGAGUGUGGUAUUUAAAUUGUGUAUUUGCAGUUAUGUGAUAUAUUUGCAGAUGGUUAUUUCAUCUACAUAUUUGUGCAUUAGAAAAGUAUAUGCGGUAUUUGUAUUUUUUAUGAAUACCAUCACAACUAGAGAAAGGAUGAUGGGUAGUGUACUAGCAAUGUACAAGAGGCAAGAUAGAGUUUCCUUUUGCAACAGAAGAAAACGAUCACAGAAGCUACACGGGUGAUGAUGUAUACAGUAUAUGUAAUAAGGAGGUGGAAGUAAAAUUUGGGAGGGAGGUGUUGUGAGAGGAGUGGAAUCUGACCUGCCACACCAGGUUUGUGGACUUCUUCUAUUUCUCAACUCUCCGUUUAUUCUGUGCAAUAUUUUCUUUUCACAGGGAAAAAAUGAGCCUUUUUCUUUGCAUUUUUCAAAUGGCUUCAUUUGGACAUUUACCUUCUUUAUCAAAAUAAUCAGGGUUCCUUUUCAAAACAAUGAUCAGUAUUCUGUAAAUUCUGAUGACUACCUCAAGUCACUUUUUUGUUGUUGUGGAGGUCAGAAUUCACUCUCAGUUGUGCAGUACUUAAAACAGCACAAUAUUUUGUUUUCUGAAGAAAUUUAAGGACUUGUAGUCCAAUCUAUGAGAGAAGAAAAAGAAAUUGUAGAAAGCCAUAAUAGAAGGAAGUCAGAAGUCAGUCCUUUCUAGAUAGGGAGAGCUAUGGAUCCAGUGGUAGAAAAGAUGUUCAUCCAUUUCCCAUUGGAUUAGAAUUCAGAUGCUGCAGGAGACCAAAGAGUCUUUGCAAUGAUAAUCAGGAAUUUAAUUCCUUUCUCAGUGAGUUUAACUCUAACAGUUGGCAUUGAUAGAAUGCAUACUGCAUGGUUCUCUAAUAUAUUACAUUUCUAGCUAACCUUGAAGUUUAUAUGCUUUGUCUCCCUCUCCUGUGUUGACAUAACAGACUUGCACUCAUUAAGAACUCAGUUUUUGAAUAUGUUUAGAACAUGAAUGGAAAUAUUUUACAUGAUACACCUGUAAAUGUAGGUCUAAUGCAAGAAAACUAGAAGGGUCAAGUGGUGAGGUCAAGUCACUCUGUUACAUGGUCAUAAGUAGUUUUUCUAUAUUUUGAGUAGCACUCAAGAUUGGAAUUUUUGAUGAUACUAUGUGGUUGCAAAUGGAAACUAGAAAUGCAUUUUAGUUGGGUAGCCAUCACAUUUAAUUUCUAAGGUGGUCAUAUUUAAUUAAGAUAUAUUUUGAAUUAAGAAGUCAACAUACACAGAAUAUUUUUGCACCUAUUUAUUAAAGGAAGGCCAUUUAUUUUACUGAUAUAUGUCUGAAUGAAAAUAUACUUCUUAAUAAAAGAGUUUUAUUGCCUUUUAUGUAAACUAAAAAAAUCAAUAUAACAUAUGAAUCUUAAACCUUAUAUUCUUUCAAAUUACGUUGUGUGUUUAGUUGAGUAGUUAAAGGUUUUUGACAUCCCAUCGCUUGUGUAAUCUGUAACAUGAAAAAUAAUCAAUUGUCCUUGAGUUACGCAUUGAAAUAAAUGUUCUUUUUAAAUGUGUUUUUCAUAAAUAUAUCUAGCAUUGGCUUAGCUUUACUCCCACUGAAGUUUUUUUAAUUAACUCCUAAGAUAUUCUAUAAAAUGGAGCCCAACAACUGAUAUGAUUGAGAGAAAGGUAUUGUAGCAUCAGUAUUUCAAUUAUUUCCACUGUGAGUCAGUUCUGUGGUCCAGUGUUCUUUGUACUUGUACAUAUCAGAUGUUGUUGUGUCAGCUCACCACAGCCGCUCCUGAAUGAACACACGAGACUCUCUGUGUUAUCACCAGAAACUUUUACUGUAGGAAACAUGAACAUCAAAGAAGCCAAGAAUGGGAGGCUCCGGCCAACCAUCCUUUAUAUACCCUCCCCCUCAUUUGAAAAGUCUCUUCCCGCUCAGUAAAACCCCGCGCAAAUUCCCCGCCAAGUCCAGCAACCGUUUCUUCUCCGAGUCCUGAGCCGCAGGUGUCUUAUCAAUGUCAGUGACCCUGAAACUCAGAGCCACAUCCAGGCUCUAGUAGCAGGGUUCUGACAUUGUUGUAUGCUUAAAAGUUGUUUCUAAUUUAUGGUGACCCUACAGUGCCACUGUGUUUCCUUGGCAAGAUUUGUUCAGAGAGGGUUUAUUUUUUUUUAUUAUUUAUUACAUGCAUUUAUACCCCGCCCUUCUCCCCGAGGGGACUCAGAGCGGCUUAGAUUCUGCCACGAGGGCCAGCAACAAAUAUACUAUAAAACAAAACAAUUAAAACAUGAUAAAAACGUGAUAAAAAGUAUAUAAAAAUUAAAACGCUGCAAGGCAGCGAUAUUGCACCAUCCUCAGUCAUUCACUACUGCUACAAUUACAGAUUUGCGACCCGAUUACAUCAGCCAGUGAGCUUAUUCGCUGGUGCUUUCCUCUGAGGGUGAGAGAAUGUGACAGUUCUGUGUUAGCAAUAUUGAGGUUAUUAUCUCAGAGUGAUUCAUGGUAGAGGCCACAGCAUCACCAGGAUGUCUAAUCUGUUCUGAAAAAUGCUCUUAGGGUUACUGCUACUUUCCUAGACUCACCUAAUUCUUCCUCCAAGCAGAAGGGGGCAGCCCAACCAGGAAUACAGUCAUGGGUUGUGUUCAAAUCAUCAUCAUAGGCAAUCCCUCGUGGCCAAGUAUGAUUGCCUUCCAAGUGUAGGAUCUUGGUGAUGGGUCUGUAGGUGACUGUAGAGACCUAUUCUUGAUCUGCAUGUUCUUUUGCAGUGAGAACAUCAAUUUCCAGAUGAAAGGUGAUCCUGACAGGGGUUGGCUUGAUACACCUUCCUUCUGACACGUUUCUUCCUUUCACCCUCCAUUUGUACCUUUUCGAAUUCCACAGCACUGUUGGUAACACCUAAACCCUAACUAAAACGCUUGAGAGCCAGGGCUUCCCAGUUCUCUGAGUCUAUGCCACAGUUUUUAAGGUUAGCUUUAAGCCAGUUUUAAAUAUCUUUUCCUGUCCAACAGGUGAGAAGGGCGGGAUAGAAAUAUUGGAAAUAAAAAUAAAUAAACAACAGUCUAUUUUCCGUUCUUGAGUUGAGAAUAUAGUAACUGCUUUGGGAGACGGUGCUUGGGCAUUCGGACUACGUGGCUAGUCCAGCAAAGUUGAUGACGAAGGAUCAUUGCUUCAGUGCUAUUGGUCUUUGCUUCUUCCAGCACACUGAUAAUUGUCCACCUGUCUUCCCAAGAGAUUUGCAGGAAUCUUUUUGGAGGCAACACUGAUGAAAUCACUCCAGAAUUCGAGUGUGAUGUCUGUAGACAGUCCACAUUUUGCAGGCAUAUAACAGGGAUAAGAGGACAAUAACUUUAUAAACAAGCAUAUUGGUAUCCCUACGAAUGUCCCGAUCCUCAAACACUCUCUGCUUCAUUUGAAAAAAUGCUGCGCUCCAGAGCUCAGAUGGUGUUGUAUUUCAGUGUCAAUGCUGACUUUUGUGGAGACGUAACUGCCAAGGUAGUGGAAAUGGUCAACAUUUCCACCUGAUUUAUGCGCACCAAGGGCUUUGCUAAGACACAAUAAGAGGAACAAGCUGCAUCUAAACUCAGUCUGACAGCGCAUAUAUUGAGAGUUAUAAUACAGCUGUAAUUUUGGUGUGGAUACAAUUAUUCUUUUAGACCUUAUUCUGGGAAGUAAUUAUGUACAGUUGGCCCUCCAUGUAUUUUGGAACGUGGGGGGGGGGGGGGUGCCCUGGAACCAAACCCAUCAUAUAUAGCAAAGGCCCACAAUAUAUAUUCUUUGUUUAAGAUAUAGGAAUACAUGCUAUAGAUAUCUCUGAGACCACUGUAUGCAGUGAAGUAUUUUGCUGUUGUUACAUUUAUAUGGCCGUUGAAUUAUGUGAGAAACAAAUUACUAUUCCAACUAUAAUUCUUCUCCAUGACCUCAUAAUUUCUCUUUCUUAAAUGCAUAUUCUGUGCAAGGCCACAGAAGUACUUGGCUGGUGAAUAUGUUAUAGCUCUUGUUUGAAGAAGACUUUUUAAAUACUGGAGUGUGCUUCUUUACAAAUCUAGUUUGCAUACAGAUUUGCCUGUAAAUAUAUAUCUUGGUAUGUACUGUAUUAGUAACCAAGAACAAACUUAGUAGUGAAUUGUAUUGCCCAUGCAUUCAAAUAUCUAGCUAAUUUUUAACUUGAAAUGUUUCUAUUACAAUCCAAGAACAAUGGAAGGCUUCUUCUGUGAUAGGUGUACCUCUUACAUAACAUUAUUCUUGCCUUCAUGAAGCAAUGAUUUGUAAAGAAUUUUCUUUGUGUGUUAUCAAGGUUAUUGAUUUAUAUCCAAACAAAGUAAAUAAUUUUAAUAUAUACCAGGGACAGGGAGAAUAGGGAUGGCUUCCAACACCACAGAAAAAAGGACAACAGUUGAACUUAUUUUAAUUUUUUAAUUAAAAACUGACAACAGGGACAUGUAAAAUGAAACAACUAGUUCUGAUAAGCCUUUCAUAAAACAUUUUAACUUUUGAGGGUAUAAAAGAUUUUAAAAAUAGGAUCUUCACUGUCAGAGGGUACUUAGCUGAGAUAUGUUUUAUUCUACUGUCAAAAUAUAUUUUAUCACUAUAACAAUUGUCCCUUCUGUGUGCUAUGUGCAGAUACUUAUUUAUUUAUUUACAACAUUUGUACCCCGCCUUUCACUACCCUGAAGGGGAUUCAAGGCAGUUUUACACAUAAGCAACUAUUUGAUGCCUUAAAAACAAUGUACAAUCAAAAUAAACAUUUAAAUAAAAUAAUAAAAUACAUGAAAACCAUUAGAAACAUUUAAAACAAUACAGCCACAAUUAAUCAUAUAAUCCACAAGCAUAAGCUGGCGUAAUACUUACUAUAAAAUGUGUUUUUAAGAGUCUAUCUUGGAUUAUUACAAUCUAGUACCAGCAAAGUGCUUCUGUUCUCGGAGUUGCCACACUUCGCCUGCUGCCUUUCAGUUUGAGUGCUUAUAUUCCAUCAGCCCACUUUGGUUGGGAUUGAAUGUAUGCUUUUAAGCUAUUUUAUUGUAUUUAUAUUUAUUGUACUUCUUUACUCAUUCAGUCGUUUUCGACUCUUCAUGACCUCAUGGACCAGUCCAUGCCAGAGCUCCCUGUUAUUUAUUUAUUUAGUUAUUUAUUGUACUUAUAGUUUAACUGUACUGUUUUAUUGUACUUAUAUUUUUACUGUUUAAUUUGAUAUGUUAUAUUUACUGUUGUAUAUGGAAUGUGGCUUUGAAUUUGCCAUGGUCUGUAAGCCGUCCUGAGUCCCUCUCGGGGUGAGAAGGGUGGGGUACAAAUAUAAUAUAAUAAUAUUUCAGACUUUUGCUCUUGUUCCUCAACUUCAUUCUUCACAUUCUCUUCAGUAAACUUUCCCUUUCACAACUGAUUAUCUACUUAUUUCCUUCCUCCGGCCUCCUUGCGUUUGUUUCCUGACCUUUUACCGGCCCAUCCUCCCAAUAUCUCUUCUCACGUCUUCGCUAUCUUUUUAUUUGAAGGACACUGGAUUUGCAAUAUCAUGAGCUGGUUUGAGGGAAGAACCCCAUUGUAGUGCGUUGUAGUCUCUUAGAAGGGCAUGGAUAUCAUUGUCUAAAAAGGGAGAAAUGCAGCCAGAAAGUUAUUCAACCAAAAAAGCAUGACUGAUUUGAGUUAUGAAUACAUUUCUAAUAAUGAACGUGCAAUCAAUAGCUGUUGGAAAUGUAUGCCAGUAGAUUCAUUUUUAAAGCAUUUAAAACUUCCAAACUGUCAAAGGCUAGCUGAAAUACUCCACAUUUCCUUUUUAAAAUAAUUUUAUUUGUAUGGGUGCAAGGCCAUGGCUAGCAUUUUAAAUAACAAAGAUGAUAAUAAAUCUACCAUUAAAUUGAAGAAACCCAAGAAGUUUUGACAGGUAAUUUAGUCUUUAUCAAACUUUACUAUGCAGUCAUUAAUUUGCAUUUGUGACUAUUCUUAUAGCAUUAAACAUUAUAAUGCACUCAGUGUUAUAGUGACAUGAGGUUGCAUGAAACAAAGGCUAAAAAAACUUCUAUCAUGUUUCAUAAAAAAUGAAGUGGCAUUGUCUGUGAUUAACCACACAGGCGCAAUCUAGCUUCCAUCAAUGGAAAAAUACUUCCAUUUACUAUUUGAUUUGAAACGAAACAGGAAUAUGGUUCUCACCAAACUCUGAAAUUCUAUAAUAAUACCAUGUAGUAUUCUCACAUCUUAGAAAUCCACUAGGCUGAAUAAUAAUUACUUUUGAAGACAAUACAUAUAAUGACUUCAGAGAUUUCAGUUAUAGCUUUAGAGAAUACAAAUUCUAUUAAAAGUACAAUAACAAUAUUGUAGCCCUAUUUAUCUGUAGUUAUCUGUAUCUUUAAAUGAAUCAUAUUAUCAGAUUCUUUUCAACUAUAUUAGUUCUAUUCAAGAUUUUCAUACUGCUCUCACCCCUGCACUAUCUGAUCACUUUAAUCAAAUAACAAGACUAGUAUCCAUCAUGUCUAGCUCAUUUUCUCCUUGUCUCUCCUCUUCCCCCUCCAAAAGGAAAAAAAAACUGUAGGUUUUUAAAUGGUUUUAUGCUUCUUGCCAUAUGGGGAUUUAUUAACAAAGUCAAGGUCCAAAUAAAUGUGCUUUGUAUUUGAAGGAAAAAGAAAACGAUUUUUGAGGUGGCUCUCUGAGACUUCUGCCAUUUCAUUCCAUAAUUUGUUCCAAGUUGGAUGAGCCCUUCACAACCUGUCAACCAUGUGCUUCAUCUUGGUGCUUCAAGCUUUCAGUAAGAUAACUUGGACUCAGACCACUGAAUGCCUUGAAGACACACAGAGAGAAACAGAGUGUUCUUGAAUUGGUGUCAAUAUCUGUAGUGUAAUAAGUGAAGGACCAGUCUGAUGUUAUUGCAGUAGCUUGUGUAACUGAGCAGAUGGGCUCUUUGAGUAAGUUUGGAUGUAAGAUUCUGAAAUAACAUACCAGCAAAGAUAUUCUGAAUUAAAAUAAGCAGUUUAAGAGGUUUUAGCUUAAUAUUUAAAGGGACUCUGAAACCCAUUUCUCACAAGUAUUAAGAUUUUUUUGUUUUUUGUUUUUUUGGGGGUUUUUUUUGGCUAUUUAGUUUGAGAUGGAGUAGGAAUCAUGUCUACAUUUACAAUUGGAGCCAUUCCAAUCAGGCCAACUUCUUCAAAA